rnacentral:rRNA from 1 species
AACAUCGCCUCUUGCCUAAAUAUAAGAGGUCCAGCCUGCCCAGUGACUCUGUUCAACGGCCGCGGUAUCCUAACCGUGCGAAGGUAGCGUAAUCACUUGUUCUUUAAAUGAGGACUAGUAUGAAUGGCACCACGAAGGUUAUACUGUCUCCUCUUUCUAAUCAGUGAAACUAAUCUCCCCGUGAAGAAGCGGGGAUAAACAUAUAAGACGAGAAGACCCUAUGGAGCUUUAAACCAUGUAGCACUUGCACUAAUUUUACACAAAUUUCAGAAAAAUCUACUCUACCCAUGCAAGAUUAUUACUAGUUUUAGGUUGGGGUGACCACGGAGCAAAAAACAACCUCCACAUUGAAAGGAACCCAAUCCUUAGCCAAGAACCACAUCUCCACGCACCAUUAUAAUGACAUUAAUUGACCCAAUAUAUUGAUCAACGAACCAAGUUACCCUAGGGAUAACAGCGCAAUCCACUUCAAGAGCUCCUAUCGACAAGUGGGUUUACGACCUCGAUGUUGGAUCAGGGUAUCCAGGUGGUGCAGCCGCUACCAAAGGUUCGUUUGUUCAACGAUUAAAACCCUACGUGA